GGAAAGCGUGAUGGGGUAACUUGACAAAUUCCUGGAGCCCGCGAAAAGGGAGACGGCGUCCGUACCGAGAACCGACACAGGUGCCCCUCGCUGAGAAGGCGAAGGCGUGUCGGAGUGAAUUGUGUUAAGGGAACUCGGCAAAUUAGCCCCGUAACUUCGGGAGAAGGGGUGCCUGCCUGGAGAUCAGGCAGGUCGCAGUGACCGGGGAGCUCUAACUGUCUAAUAACAACAUAGGUGACUGCAACUCGGAAACGACUAGUAUAGUCACUGAUUCCUGCCCAGUGCGAGUAUCUGAAUACCGGGUUCAACCGGACGAAGGACUCGUAAACGGCGGGGGUAACGAUGACCCUCUUAAGGUAGCGUAGUACCUUGUCGCUUAAUUGGCGACUUGCAUGAAUGGAUUAAUGAGAGCUCUACUGUCCCUAACACAAGCCCGUUGAACCUUUUGUCCUAGUGCAGAGACUAGGGACUCCUAUUGGGAAGUGAAGACCCCGUGGAGCUUUACUGCAGCCUGUCGCUGAAUUACGGUAUUACAUGCGCAGUGUAGAUGGGAGGCGUUAUAUCCGUUUCUUUCGGGAAACGGGGAGCCAACAAUGAGACACCAUCCUUGUUUUACUGUAGUUCUCACUCCAACGAGGACAACGAUAGGUGGGCAGUUUGGGUGGGGCGCCACACCCUCGAGAAAAUAUCAAGGGUGCCCUAAGGUCAACUCAUGUGAGUCAGAAACUCACAGAAGAGUGUCAAGAGCAAAAGUUGGCCUGACGCGAUUGCGCUUAGCAAGCAAUCGCGAGAGGAAACUCGGGUCUAACGAACCAAUACGCCCUGUUGGUGAGGGCUAUUGACGACAGAAAAGCUACCCCGGGGAUAACAGAGUCGUCGCCGGCAAGAGCACAUAUCGACCCGGCGGCUUGCUACCUCGAUGUCGGUUCUUUCCAUCCUGGCUGUGCAGCAGCAGCCAAGGGUGAGGUUGUUCGCCUAUUAAAGGGGAUCGUGAGCUGGGUUUAGACCGUCGUGAGACAGGUCGGUUACUAUCUAAUAGGAGUGUCAGGAGUCUGAGGGUAAGAAUGGAAUAGUGCGAGAGGAACUUCCAUUCGGCGCCACUAGUCGAUCGGUUGUCUGACAAGGCAAUGCCGAGCAGCCACGCGCCAAGGGAUAAAAGCUGAAAGCAUCUAAGCUUGAAACCCGGCCUAAAAAGAGACUCCGUUGAGGACAUGGGUAAAAGACCCGUUUGAUAGGCCUGGGAUGUACGCACGAAGGCAACGACGUGUUCAGUCCGCAGGUACUAACGUCCAAAUCC
rnacentral:rRNA from 1 species